ensembl:lncRNA
UGCAGCUCACUUUACACCAGCCAGCAGAGAGGAGGCCAGCCACUGCUGCUCCCUAAAGGCCUCCAGGAUGGUUUGCGGUAUUGGACAGUGGCCCCUUGGCGUGACUCCCAUGAUCCUCCUGGUUCUGGGUCUUCAUCUCCCAGGCUUGGCUUCCAAGUGCAUCCCACGGUUGGAGGAGCCGGCGCUGGAACCGCUGCCAGUCGCCAUGGACCCCUACAUGCAGCCGGCAGGGAUUCUACAGCCCCAGGUCCGCCCGCAGGGGCAGGGGAUUGGUAAUGAGCCUGGAGCAUACGGAGGAACGGAUUCUGGAGCAUAUGGAGGACCUGGGCCCGGAUCAUAUGGGAUAGAUGGGCCCGGGGCCUACGGAGGAACCAAUUCUGGAUCGUAUGGAGGACCUGGGCCUGGAUCAUACGGGAUAGAUGGGCCCGGGGCCGAUGCAGGAACUGGGGCCGGAUCCUACGGAGGAACUGGAUGUGCAUCAUACGAAGCAGCCGGAACUGGGUCAUAUGAACAACCUGGGCCCGGAUCGUAUGGAAUAAAUGGCCCCGGAGCCUAUGAAGGAGCCAGGCCGGCUAUCUCAGUGGGGGGUUCCCCACCACAGUAUGGGAUGCUGGGUGCUGGCUAUGGGGUUGGCCCUGUCAGUCCGUCCGGGCACGUGCGGCCAAUCUAUAAGAACCCCAGCAUCCCCUUCGUGCCAGGUGUCCACGAUGAGGUCAGAACCGCAGGGCACAUACGGGUCCCUUAUAGGGACCCAGUGAGCUAUGCUGGGAAUGCCCGGCUGGGGCAGGGGGCAGGUGGGUUCCCGCUCCCAAAGUACAAGGAACCCAGCAUCCCCUAUGUGCCGAGCCUCUCGGAGCUGCCCAACCAUGCCGGAGAGGGGGUGUCGUCCAUGCCCGGGGUCUCCAUUGACAAUGCUGUUGGAGGGGGAGCUGGAACAGGAGAUGUGUCCAUGCCAGGCUCUUCCAGUCCCACGCUGCCUGAUGGCCCUUAGUCCACAGGGCAUGAGGAGCGAGCUGGUGAGGGUUAGCAGCUAAGGCAGGAGGAGGGCAGAAAGCCUAGGUUCUGUCCCCAGCUCUGGGGGGGUAUGGUUUAGGUGUGAGAGCAAGGGAACGGGACUCAGGACUCCCGGGUUCUGUCCCCAGCUGCAGGAAAACAGUGGGGUCUAGUGGUUAGAGUGGGAGGCGGGUCAGGACCCCUGGGUUCUAUCCCCAGCUCUUGACAGGGAGUGGGGGUCUAGUCAUUGGAGCAAGAGAAUGGGGGCUUCUAUCCCAGAUCUGGGGGGAAUGGUGUCUAGUGGUUAGAGCAGGGUGGAACUGGGGAUCAGGACUCCUGGUUCUGUCCUGGUUCUAUGAGUAGGGUUGAGUGGUUAGAGUGGGAGGAGGAAUGGAGGCCAGGACUGCUAGGUUCAAUCCCAGGUCUGUGAGGGGAGUGGUGUCUAGUGGUUAGAGCAGGGUAGGAGUGGGGCUAGGAGUCUGUACUCAUGGGUUCUAUCCCCUGCUCUCCUGUCAUCUUACCACAUGCUCCUGACUGGGCCACUCCAUCGCUUUGUGCCUCAGUUUCCCUGUGUUCCAAAACCUUUUGCUCAGCGCUUAGCUGUGGAUGAGGGUAAGUGCUUAUAGUCCUCCCUGUGUAAAUUCCCCACUCCCAUAUCUCCCCCCACCCAGCCUGGAUCACUUCAACCCUCCCCGCAACCACGUCUCCUUCCCAUAUGGUCUGUGAUCUCAGGGCCUCUGUAUUGCUGGGAUGCCUAGAUAGGGGUGGGGAGGAUGGCUGUGUCUCUCUCUGCUCCUCACUUCUGCUGCUGUAAAUGAUUCCAAUAAAACCCUUGCUCUGUGAGGUCA